UACUCGAGUGGCGAACGGGUGAGUAACACGUGGGUGAUCUGCCCUGCACUUCGGGAUAAGCUUGGGAAACUGGGUCUAAUACCGGAUAGGAGCCAUCUUUAGUGUGGUGGUUGGAAAGUUUUUUGGUGUAGGAUGAGCUCGCGGCCUAUCAGCUUGUUGGUGUGGUAAUGGCCUACCAAGGCGGCGACGGGUAGCCGGCCUGAGAGGGUGUACGGCCACAUUGGGACUGAGAUACGGCCCAG
rnacentral:rRNA from 1 species